rnacentral:rRNA from 1 species
AUGUGUACGGACAGUAGAGCCGUUAACAAGAUCACCGUAAGGUAUAGAUUCCCUAUUCCCCGUCUGGAUGAUAUGUUGGAUCAGCUUAGUGCAGCAAGAGUGUUCACAAAGCUAGAUUUAAGAAGUGGAUAUCAUCAAAUCUGUAUAAGACCCGUGGAUGAAUGGAAGACCGCCUUCAAGACAAAGGAAGGGUUGUUUGAAUGGCUAGUCAUGCCAUUUGGAUUCUCAAAUGCACCAAGUACCUUUAUGCACUUAAUGAAUCAAGUCCUUAGACCCUUCUUAUCCCACUUUGUUGUGGUCUAUUUCGAUGACAUCUUGAUCUAUAGCAAGGAUGAGGAUGAACACUUUGAUCACAUUCGGAAGGUGCUAGAAGUACUAAGGGGAAAUGAGCUCUACGUCAACUUGAAGAAAUGUGUUUUCCUACAAACACAACUUCUUUUCCUAGGAUUCAUCAUAACAUGUGACGGCAUUCGUGUCGAUGAUUGUAAGGUUGAAACAAUCCGAGAAUGGCCAACUCCUAAGACCAUUCCUGAGGUAAGAAGCUUUCAUGGCCUUGCAACUUUUUAUAGGCGAUUUGUGAAGAAUUUCAGCACUAUCAUGGCGCCAAUUACCGAGUGUUUGAAGAAAGGAAAGUUCUAA